rnacentral:rRNA from 1 species
AUUGAACGCUGGCGGCAGGCCUAACACAUGCAAGUCGAAUGGUAACAGGAAACAGCUUGCUGUUUCGCUGACGAGUGGCGGACGGGUGAGUAAUGUCUGGGAAACUGCCUGAUGGAGGGGGAUAACUACUGGAAACGGUAGCUAAUACCGCAUAACGUCGCAAGACCAAAGAGGGGGACCUUCGGGCCGCUUGCCAUCAGAUGUGCCCAGAUGGGCUUUGCUAGUAGGUGGGGGAACGGCUCACCGAGGCGACGAUCCCUAGCUGGUCUGAGAGGAUGACCAGCCACACUGGAACUGAGACACGGUCCAGACCCCUACGGGAGGCCGCAGUGGGGAAUAUUGCACAAUGGGCGCAAGCCUGAUGCAGCCAUGCCGCGUGUAUGAAGAAGGACUUCGGGUUGUAAAGUACUUUCAGCGGGGAGGAAGGGAGUAAAGUUAAUACCUUGGCUCAUUGACGUUACCCGCAGAAGAAGCACCGGCUAACUCCGUG